rnacentral:rRNA from 1 species
GGCGGACGGGUGAGUAACACGUGGGUAACCUGCCUGUAAGACUGGGAUAACUCCGGGAAACCGGAGCUAAUACCGGAUAGUUCCUUGAACCGCAUGGUUCAAGGAUGAAAGACGGUUUCGGCUGUCACUUACAGAUGGACCCGCGGCGCAUUAGCUAGUUGGUGAGGUAACGGCUCACCAAGGCGACGAUGCGUAGCCGACCUGAGAGGGUGAUCGGCCACACUGGGACUGAGACACGGCCCAGACUCCUACGGGAGGCAGCAGUAGGGAAUCUUCCGCAAUGGACGAAAGUCUGACGGAGCAACGCCGCGUGAGUGAUGAAGGUUUUCGGAUCGUAAAGCUCUGUUGUUAGGGAAGAACAAGUGCAAGAGUAACUGCUUGCACCUUGACGGUACCUAACCAGAAAGCCACGGCUAACUACGUGCCAGCAGCCGCGGUAAUACGUAGGUGGCAAGCGUUGUCCGGAAUUAUUGGGCGUAAAGGGCUCGCAGGCGGUUUCUUAAGUCUGAU